AAAACGGCCCUUAUCAGGGCCACCAGUUAAUUCAGAAAGGAAUUG
rfam:Daphnia pulex DAPPTscaffold_2011_Cont13759, whole genome shotgun sequence.